UACGGGGGGGGCAAGCGUUGUUCGGAAUUACUGGGCGUAAAGCGUGCGCAGGCGGUGAGUUAAGUCUGAUGUGAAAGCCCCGGGCUCAACCUGGGAAUGGCAUUGGAAACUGGCUCGCUGGAGUGUGGCAGAGGGGGGUGGAAUUCCGCGUGUAGCAGUGAAAUGCGUAGAUAUUCGCAAGAACACCAGUGGCGAAGGCGGCUCACUGGCCCGAUACUGACGCUGAGGAGCGAAAGCGUGGGGAGCGAACAGG
rnacentral:rRNA from 1 species